GAUGAACGCUGGCGGCGUGCUUAACACAUGCAAGUCGAACGAUGAAGCCCAGCUUGCUGGGUGGAUUAGUGGCGAACGGGUGAGUAACACGUGAGUAACCUGCCCUUGACUCUGGGAUAAGCCUGGGAAACUGGGUCUAAUACUGGAUAUGACUUCUCAUCUCCUGGUGGGGGGUGGAAAGAUUUAUUGGUCUUGGAUGGACUCGCGGCCUAUCAGCUUGUUGGUGAGGUAAUGGCUCACCAAGGCGACGACGGGUAGCCGGCCUGAGAGGGUGACCGGCCACACUGGGACUGAGACACGGCCCAGACUCCUACGGGAGGCAGCAGUGGGGAAUAUUGCACAAUGGGCGCAAGCCUGAUGCAGCGACGCCGCGUGAGGGAUGACGGCCUUCGGGUUGUAAACCUCUUUCAGUAGGGAAGAAGCGAGAGUGACGGUACCUGUAGAAGAAGCGCCGGCUAACUACGUG
rnacentral:rRNA from 1 species